UCUACCUUCUACUCCUUGAGUGCAUGAAGCCAAUAUCUAAGUCCCACUCUCCUCUCUCCCUCUUCUGGUCCCAUCCCUACCCCCUUCCUCUCCUUUAGUAUCUUGACUCAACAAGGCUUCCUCAUCCUCCCCAGGCUUCAGAGAAAUCAGGAGCAGUGAAUGAUCGAAAUGGACCUUUGAGAUUACAGUGUAGAGCUGACAUUGCCAGUUAAGUCUGGGCAGAUCUGACUUAAUUGAUUAAUUUAGUUGUUGAAGCAGAGACAACCCAGAGGCUUGGAUCAGCCUCCCCAUCUGACAGUGUGCUGAUGAGAAGCAUUGACUUAAGAGAUGCCAAGUAACUCAGCAGAUGUCACACAGACGAUAAAUAGCAAAGAUGGAAGUCUUCAUGCCGGAGGCAAUCCUAUAAGACAGCUGAGUUCUCCAGAGCUGGUAGGAGACAGACUUGCUCAGGUGAUAGAUCCAGCCAUGAUACUGACCCUAAGAGAAUGAGACACUCUGCAGAAGA
rnacentral:lncRNA from 1 species